AACGCGAAGAACCUUACCAGCCCUUGACAUGUGACUCGCCGGGACCAGAGACGGUCCCUUCGGUUCGGCCGGAGUCAACACAGGUGCUGCAUGGCUGUCGUCAGCUCGUGUCGUGAGAUGUUGGGUUAAGUCCCGCAACGAGCGCAACCCUCGUCUCCAGUUGCCAUCAGGUUAUGCUGGGCACUUUGGAGAAACUGCCGGUGACAAGCCGGAGGAAGGUGGGGAUGACGUCAAGUCCUCAUGGCCCUUACGGGCUGGGCUACACACGUGCUACAAUGGCGGUGACAAUGGGAUGCGAAGGUGCGAGCCGGAGCCGAUCCUAAAAAGCCGUCUCAGUUCGGAUUGCACUCUGCAACUCGAGUGCAUGAAGUUGGAAUCGCUAGUAAUCGAGGAUCAGCAUGCCUCGGUGAAUACGUUCCCGGGCCUUGUACACACCGCUCGCGA
rnacentral:rRNA from 1 species